AAAGGGAUCUGCAAAGGGGAAAUCCGUGCGAAGGAAGCGAAAUUAGCAGRCUUUUGGGAAAGGGGAUGUUCUAAAUGUGGCCGGCUGGACUUCAUCCUGGUGAAGAAAAUGGAGAUUAAAAGUGGAUUUACAUUUUGGAACCUCGUCUUUUUAUUGAUGGUUUCGUAUGUGAAAGGAUUUAUUUAUACCUGUGGUGGAACUCUAAAAGGUCUUAACGGCACUAUAGAAAGCCCUGGCUUCCCAUAUGGAUAUCCAAAUGGUGCAAACUGUACUUGGGUUAUAAUAGCAGAAGAAAGAAACAGAAUACAGAUUGUAUUUCAAUCCUUUGCUCUAGAAGAGGAAUAUGAUUACUUAUCAUUAUAUGAUGGGCAUCCUCAUCCUGCUAACUUUAGGACAAGGUAAAUAAUAAACUUCUUUAAAAUGUGACCUCUGUUUGUACGUUAAAURUAUCUAAGGAGCUAGUAAAAGCUUAUGUCUUUAUGUUAGAGAUUUUAGCUGUAAAAGCAUAUGUCCAGCCUUUAAGGUGUAUGUUUUCCUUAAUUAAAAAUGACAUGUGAUAUGCUUUAAAUCUAUGUAAAGUAGUUGCUAAAAACAUUUCUAGUACUGUCAUAAAACUUGCUGUCUUGACAAAAUGCAAUGAACUCAGAAACAUAUGGGAAACAAACAAGUGUUAAGGAAUGUUGAAAUAGUGCUGGUCUCAGUUUGUAUGAGGUGUCAGAAAUGGACCAUAAAAGUAAAAGAAAAUUAGCUUGAAAAUCAAGAAUAUAAUCAGUUGCAGAACAUUUUUUAUCAGUGCAUAUUUCAGAAC